GACGAACGCUGGCGGCGUGCUUAACACAUGCAAGUCGAACGGAAAGGCCCUGCUUUUGUGGGGUGCUCGAGUGGCGAACGGGUGAGUAACACGUGAGUAACCUGCCCUUGACCUUGGGAUAACUUCAGGAAACUGGGGCUAAUACCGGAUAGGAGCUCCUGCUGCAUGGUGGGGGUUGGAAAGUUUCGGCGGUUGGGGAUGGACUCGCGGCUUAUCAGCUUGUUGGUGGGGUAGUGGCUUACCAAGGCUUUGACGGGUAGCCGGCCUGAGAGGGUGACCGGCCACAUUGGGACUGAGAUACGGCCCAGACCCCUACGGGAGGCAGCAGUGGGGAAUAUUGCACAAUGGGCGGAAGCCUGAUGCAGCAACGCCGCGUGCGGGAUGACGGCCUUCGGGUUGUAAACCGCUUUCGCCUGUGACGAAGCGUGAGUGACGGUAAUGGGUAAAGAAGCACCGGCUAACUACGUG
rnacentral:rRNA from 1 species